GUGAAAAUGAGUGUGUGAGAUCAUCACAUCAUUAAAAGUUAGCAUUUACAAUGGCGUAUGCGAAACAGGCCAGAUUCAACCAUUCUGUGUGGGAAAACCGCCUUCAUCGCCUCAUCACUUGGAAGGAUCGUCUUUGGGCCUGUGGGAGUGAUGAGGUCUGGGGGAUCACGACCUUAAUUUUCUCCAAGACAGACGCUUAAUUAACACUGGAGGAACCCUGGCUGGCUUCAGACCGAAUAUUGGAAUGUUCAAGGGAAUUAAGUCUGAUUUGGUGCUGCUACAAAAAAGGAAAAACUCCGACUGCAACGGACAAUCAAAACUGCUGAAAAGAUUGUCGGUACCCCCGUACCCACCCUUGAGGACUUGCACCCUGCCAGAACUAUGACAAGAGCAUGCAAAAUCCUCUCGGACCCUCCACAUCCCGGUCACCAGCUCUUCCGGCUCCUUCCCUCUGAAAAGCACCGCCCACUCUGGAGGAUGUUUGUCACUGACAACAGUUACGAAUCAUCCUUCUCAUUCCCUACAGACUGUGGAGACAAACUACAUUCAUAGUGCAGGAAGGAAUGUUACCUGUGACAGUUUCCUUAUACAAACAACUAUUACAUUGUUCAAUGCGACACUUUGUGGAUAUUCACUUAAACACAUCUAUUUUUUUUGUGUUGCACCUCUACAUUAAUUUCACAAAAGAUAUGAAGGUAGGUUUACCCUCCUACCGAGCAAAGGUAGAUUUCUACACAUUGUUGCUGUACAGUGAAAAGUAAUGAUCUUAAAAUAUAAUUAAAAAUUUAAGAAUAAUCUCACAAAAUUGCUUACAGUAAUGUAGUUCAAUUUGUUCUUUACCCAGUUACCGUUACCAUAGUCAUUAUACUUUGUAUACUUUUCCCUUUAUUUUUUUUCUACUUAUAAUUAUUUUACUGCUUACUUUUCUUUAUGCUGUUGUAUUCAAACAAGUGAAUUUCCCUGAUUUGGGAUUAAUAAA